UUGGUUAACAUUUUGUUUGAUUUCAUUUUUAUAAUCAUUUUAUUGGCGUUGAUUAACUUAAUUCAAUGUCUGUAAACAUUAAUAUUAACCAUUUGAAUUUUGGUUAAACACUGUGAAUGAUAUUUUGCUUUAGGUUAUAACAGCAAGCCAGAGAAAAGGUUGUUUGUUUGGUAAAAUAUUUACUCAAGAGUAAAAUGAUAUGACUUUGUGUGUGCUAAUGUGUUUAUCUACAAUGAUUAUUGUUAUUAUUUUGCUUUGCUAUUAGACUGUGAAACGAUAAUCGGCCUCAUCAUCGGCACAGUUAAGGGAUGAAGGCCACAACAUUAACAAUAAGCAAGGAAAGAGAGGAAAAGGGCAAAAGUAAUGCCUUUACCUUUUACCUUUACAACAGACAUGGAUAAAUGGCCUGUUCAAAUGGUACACAGUAAGAAAAAGGUAUAAAUUAGCUGUGAUGGGGCAAAGGGCGCUUGAUUGAUGUCCAAAAAAAAGAUUGAACGGAAAGUAUGUGAAGUCCACAGGAAACCAACAAUUGGUGAAGGCGAAAGGUGAAGAUAAUACGGAUCAAAAGGUUCUCUCUUUCACCCCUGAUGAGAUGAUAACUUUACUGGGCUUUUUGUAACAUCAACCUCCCUCUUUAUGGAUAGAUAAAUGUUUGGUAAGGUGACAAACGAUUCCGCUUGUUUGAGGUUUUGCUUUUGGUUUUUUGCUUCUCUCUUUUACCUUACUCUUGGAUUCCGCUGUUAAAUCUGGACCUAAGAGGCUGAUGGACCAAUAAAUUUGAUAAAGUUGCAGUUGAAGACUCUCCUAUUAGAUGUCAUUUAUUUUGUUUAGUGUUACCUUCAUCCUGAAAGCUUCAGGGUUACCUUUGUUUGGACCCCUUUGCCCUAGGAUCAAGUUUUAUGUCUUCAAAUGUAAACACCUCAUGUGGUGUCAAUGGAGCUUUUAAUCAUCAAGACUCCCUGGAAAUACAAGCUAAUGAUAAAAAAAAGUAGAACCAUCUAACACUAUUGGGUUAUAAUGAUUGGUAAAAAUGGCAGGAUCAAUUGUAUGGUUAACAACCACAAUAACAACAUGAUGAAGAUGACAAGGAGAAGGAGAAAAGCAAGAGGAAGAAAAUAGAAGAAGAAGAAGAAGAUGAAGAAGAAGCAAAAGAUUGAAAUGAUUUGUGUUCAUUCGCUAUUCAUGUUUACCCUUGAUUUACAUGUUUAGCCUUUUAUCCAUAACAAUCAAAGAGCCUUCUCUAUUUUACUGUCACUGUUUAACGCCUUCUUUAAAUGAUCAAUUGAUAUGUGUUGAUGAUGUCAACAUUUUUGGGUUUACCUACAUUUUCUUGGUUCAAUAGCAAAUAUAAAGCAAACCUAAAGAGACGAUGAAACGACCAAUCAUCAAUUUUCCCAGCUUUUAACUUCUAAAUCAUUGUAAUCAAAUGUCAUUGUAAACAUUUGCUCAUUGUAAAAUAUCCUAACUUUCUUGGUCUUUUUUAUAUUGCUGUUGUUAACAGUUUGAUGAUGUUUAAUGACAAUUUAUAAGCUUCAAGACUAGAGCAAAUAAUGAUUGCCAACAAUUAAAAGGUUAUUUUGUAA